rnacentral:rRNA from 1 species
AGUCGAACGGGGACUUCGGUCCUAGUGGCGAACGGUCGCGUAACACGUAAGCAACCUGCCCUGAAGUGGGGGACAACAUCCCGAAAGGGGUGCUAAUACCGCAUGUGGUCACGAGUCGGCAUCGGCUUGUGUCUAAAGAUUUAUCGCUUCAGGAUGGGCUUGCGGCCUAUCAGGUAGUUGGUGGGGUAAUGGCCUACCAAGCCGACGACGGGUAGCUGGUCUGAGAGGACGAUCAGCCGGAUUGGGACUGAGAUACGGCCCAGACUCCUACGGGGGGCAGCAAUUAGGAAUCUUGCGCAAUGGGGGCAACCCUGACGCAGCGACGUCGCGUGAAGGAUGAAGGCCUUCGGGUCGUAAACUUCUUUUGAGUGGGAAGAAAUUUGACGGUACCACUCGAAUAAGCCCCGGCUAACUACGUGCCAGCAGCCGCGGUAAUACGUAGGGGGCGAGCGUUGUCCGAAGUUACUGGGCGUAAAGCGCGCGUAGGCGGUUAUUCAAGUCUGGGGUGAAAGGUUCAGCGCUCAACGUGAACAGUGCCUUGGAUACUGGAUGACUUGAGUCUGGGAGGGGGAAGGGGGAAUUCCUGGUGUAGCGGUGAAAUGCGUAGAUAUCAGGAGGAACACCGGUGGCGAAGGCGCCUUCCUGG